UCAUGAUAAGAAUUUCAUGUCUUUUGUAUUAAAGAAUUAAAUGGAUGAAAUAUGAAGUUUUAUUAAAAGAAAAAGGGGUGAAAAGAACAAAGUUUUGUCCAUCUUUGUUCAUCAUAGCUGAAAGUUAGAGAAGAGAAAGGAGAGGAGAAAGCUCUUGAGUAUUCGGUCAUUAGGAGGAGGAAAAUUGAAGGCGGUUCGUGUGUGGAUCUCACAAGAUAUCGUCAAGCAUACAGUGUGUAACUGACACCCUCUCAUAGACUAGAUUGGCAAAAGCGAAAAGCGAAAUGCCGAAAAGUCGGUAUUUUGGGAAUUUAUGAAAAGCGAAUGCUUGUAAGAUAGUUGGGUUUGUAUAUUUGGUAAUCUAAAUUAAUAAACUGCAGUACGCGCGAUUUCGUACAUUUUGAUAAUUUGGGCUUAAUGGACCAAAGAUUGGAUUCAUGGGCCAACGGGCCCAAUUCAGUAAGUAUGUGCGGUAAGUGUUCUGAUAGUACGUAAAUAGUUAGGAUAUGCAUGAAAACCCUAAAAGUAGCUAAAUUACUAUAAUACCCCUAUGUAUGGAAAAUUUACUGUUAUACCCCUAGGUGCAAAAUUACCGUUAUACCCCUAGGGUUAAUUUUGACUGAAAAGCAUGACGAUCUGAUUCUGUAUGAUGUAUGCCAUGAUUAUAUAUUUGUUGCAUGGGGACAUGGGUUAUAUUAUGGAGGAAGCGUUCUAGUGGCUAUGCCACAAAUAUCUGAUCUGGUGGCUCUGCCACAUAUAUCUGUUCUGGUGGCUCUGCCACGAUUAUCUUUAUCUGGUGACUCUGUCACAUUAUCUGUUCUGGCAGCCAUGCUGCAAAUUCUGUAGUGUGUAGCGGUUGGGUGGGUCAAGCUGUCUCCCCACACGGUGUAAGGUUGGUAUGGGGGUGUAUACGGUUGGAUAUGGUUGGGUUUCUGCAUAAACAUGUAAUAUCUGCUUACGUUACGCUAUGGGCCUAUGGGCUUUAUUCAAUUUCUUCUAGGCUAAGGCCAACUUAUUCUAUUUCGUGGUUUGAGUGAUAUAGGCUAUGGUUGGGUUAAUUUACACACUAAGUUUCCCCAAACUCACCCCUUUUAUUUUCAUCCACGCAGGUAAUCCCCAACCAUAGUGGGCUUGGAGCUGAGAGGGAAUUCGGAGUGACCACCCGUUCUGAAAGUUUGAUUUUCUUCUGGUGAACUGGACAUCCUUUUAUUUACGAUUAAAGUUUUGUGUUUUUAAAUGUAAUAAGGCCGCUUAACUAUUUUUGAUGGUUUUAAUAUGUAUUACUAAGAUAGGUAAUAUUAUUUUAA